GGUUAAGCGACUAAGCGUACACGGUGGAUGCCCUGGCAGUCAGAGGCGAUGAAGGACGUGCUAAUCUGCGAUAAGCGUCGGUAAGGUGAUAUGAACCGUUAUAACCGGCGAUUUCCGAAUGGGGAAACCCAGUGUGAUUCGUCACACUAUCAUUAACUGAAUCCAUAGGUUAAUGAGGCGAACCGGGGGAACUGAAACAUCUAAGUACCCCGAGGAAAAGAAAUCAACCGAGAUUCCCCCAGUAGCGGCGAGCGAACGGGGAGCAGCCCAGAGCCUGAAUCAGUGUGUGUGUUAGUGGAAGCGUCUGGAAAGGCGCGCGAUACAGGGUGACAGCCCCGUACACAAAAAUGCACAUACUGUGAGCUCGAUGAGUAGGGCGGGACACGUGGUAUCCUGUCUGAAUAUGGGGGGACCAUCCUCCAAGGCUAAAUACUCCUGACUGACCGAUAGUGAACCAGUACCGUGAGGGAAAGGCGAAAAGAACCCCGGCGAGGGGAGUGAAAAAGAACCUGAAACCGUGUACGUACAAGCAGUGGGAGCACGCUUAGGCGUGUGACUGCGUACCUUUUGUAUAAUGGGUCAGCGACUUAUAUUCUGUAGCAAGGUUAACCGAAUAGGGGAGCCGAAGGGAAACCGAGUCUUAACUGGGCGUUAAGUUGCAGGGUAUAGACCCGAAACCCGGUGAUCUAGCCAUGGGCAGGUUGAAGGUUGGGUAACACUAACUGGAGGACCGAACCGACUAAUGUUGAAAAAUUAGCGGAUGACUUGUGGCUGGGGGUGAAAGGCCAAUCAAACCGGGAGAUAGCUGGUUCUCCCCGAAAGCUAUUUAGGUAGCGCCUCGUGAAUUCAUCUCCGGGGGUAGAGCACUGUUUCGGCAAGGGGGUCAUCCCGACUUACCAACCCGAUGCAAACUGCGAAUACCGGAGAAUGUUAUCACGGGAGACACACGGCGGGUGCUAACGUCCGUCGUGAAGAGGGAAACAACCCAGACCGCCAGCUAAGGUCCCAAAGUCAUGGUUAAGUGGGAAACGAUGUGGGAAGGCCCAGACAGCCAGGAUGUUGGCUUAGAAGCAGCCAUCAUUUAAAGAAAGCGUAAUAGCUCACUGGUCGAGUCGGCCUGCGCGGAAGAUGUAACGGGGCUAAACCAUGCACCGAAGCUGCGGCAGCGACGCUGAUGCGUUGUUGGGUAGGGGAGCGUUCUGUAAGCCUGUGAAGGUGUGCUGUGAGGCAUGCUGGAGGUAUCAGAAGUGCGAAUGCUGACAUAAGUAACGAUAAAGCGGGUGAAAAGCCCGCUCGCCGGAAGACCAAGGGUUCCUGUCCAACGUUAAUCGGGGCAGGGUGAGUCGACCCCUAAGGCGAGGCCGAAAGGCGUAGUCGAUGGGAAACAGGUUAAUAUUCCUGUACUUGGUGUUACUGCGAAGGGGGGACGGAGAAGGCUAUGUUGGCCGGGCGACGGUUGUCCCGGUUUAAGCGUGUAGGCUGGUUUUCCAGGCAAAUCCGGAAAAUCAAGGCUGAGGCGUGAUGACGAGGCACUACGGUGCUGAAGCAACAAAUGCCCUGCUUCCAGGAAAAGCCUCUAAGCAUCAGGUAACAUCAAAUCGUACCCCAAACCGACACAGGUGGUCAGGUAGAGAAUACCAAGGCGCUUGAGAGAACUCGGGUGAAGGAACUAGGCAAAAUGGUGCCGUAACUUCGGGAGAAGGCACGCUGAUAUGUAGGUGAAGCGACUUGCUCGUGGAGCUGAAAUCAGUCGAAGAUACCAGCUGGCUGCAACUGUUUAUUAAAAACACAGCACUGUGCAAACACGAAAGUGGACGUAUACGGUGUGACGCCUGCCCGGUGCCGGAAGGUUAAUUGAUGGGGUCAGCGCAAGCGAAGCUCUUGAUCGAAGCCCCGGUAAACGGCGGCCGUAACUAUAACGGUCCUAAGGUAGCGAAAUUCCUUGUCGGGUAAGUUCCGACCUGCACGAAUGGCGUAAUGAUGGCCAGGCUGUCUCCACCCGAGACUCAGUGAAAUUGAACUCGCUGUGAAGAUGCAGUGUACCCGCGGCAAGACGGAAAGACCCCGUGAACCUUUACUAUAGCUUGACACUGAACAUUGAGCCUUGAUGUGUAGGAUAGGUGGGAGGCUUUGAAGUGUGGACGCCAGUCUGCAUGGAGCCGGCCUUGAAAUACCACCCUUUAAUGUUUGAUGUUCUAACGUUGACCCGUGAUCCGGGUUGCGGACAGUGUCUGGUGGGUAGUUUGACUGGGGCGGUCUCCUCCUAAAGAGUAACGGAGGAGCACGAAGGUUGGCUAAUCCUGGUCGGACAUCA
rnacentral:rRNA from 1 species